AUGUAUGCUGGCUCAAACCCCACCUCGGAGAUUAGGAACUCUGACCUUCUCUCCAGCAUACCACCUGAACGUCUUCUUCAAGUGCUCCACUUUGGCGGCGAUUUUCUCCUUGCUGAGGCGCGCAACAGCCCGCAACGCGUGCCUGAACAUCCUACAGCCACGAGGCACACCAAUAUCUUCGGCAUGUGCCACCAUUUCCCGGACGCACUCUAUGUUGGAGGUGAGCAGCCAUGGAUGAGCGAUGCUAAGCUUGGCAAUGUAAGUGUCAUCUAG
rnacentral:rRNA from 1 species